UGGCCUUACACUUGCAAGUCGAACGGCAGCACGGGAGCAAUCCUGGUGGCGAGUGGCGAACGGGUGAGUAAUAUAUCGGAACGUGCCCAGUCGUGGGGGAUAACGCAGCGAAAGCUGUGCUAAUACCGCAUACGAUCUAUGGAUGAAAGCGGGGGAUCGCAAGACCUCGCGCGAUUGGAGCGGCCGAUAUCAGAUUAGGUAGUUGGUGGGGUAAAAGCCCACCAAGCCGACGAUCUGUAGCUGGUCUGAGAGGACGACCAGCCACACUGGAACUGAGACACGGUCCAGACUCCUACGGGAGGCAGCAGUGGGGAAUUUUGGACAAUGGGCGCAAGCCUGAUCCAGCAAUGCCGCGUGCAGGAUGAAGGCCUUCGGGUUGUAAACUGCUUUUGUACGGAACGAAACGGUCCUUUCUAAUACAAGGGGCUAAUGACGGUACCGUAAGAAUAAGCACCGGCUAACUACGUG
rnacentral:rRNA from 1 species